rnacentral:rRNA from 1 species
AUUAAUUUGAGAGUUUGAUCCUGGCUCAGGACGAACGCUGGCGGCGUGCCUAAUACAUGCAAGUCGAACGAACUCUGGUAUUGAUUGGUGCUUGCAUCAUGAUUUACAUUUGAGUGAGUGGCGAACUGGUGAGUAACACGUGGGAAACCUGCCCAGAAGCGGGGGAUAACACCUGGAAACAGAUGCUAAUACCGCAUAACAACUUGGACCGCAUGGUCCGAGUUUGAAAGAUGGCUUCGGCUAUCACUUUUGGAUGGUCCCGCGGCGUAUUAGCUAGAUGGUGAGGUAACGGCUCAC